GUAGGAGGCAAGCGUUAUCCGGAUUUACUGGGCGUAAAGCGUGUGUAGGCGGUUUGGUCAGUCGGACGUGAAAGCUCCUGGCUCAACUAGGAGAGGCCGUUCGAAACUUCCAAACUUGAGGGCAGUAGAGGGAGGUGGAAUUCCGGGUGUAGCGGUGAAAUGCGUAGAUAUCCGGAGGAACACCAGUGGCGAAGGCGGCCUCCUGGACUGUCCCUGACGCUCAGACACGAAAGCUAGGGGAGCAAACGGGAUUAGACACCCCGGUAGUCCUAGCUGUAAACGAUGCAGACUUGGUGUUGGGAGUGUAAAAACUUUCAGUGCCGGAGCUAACGCGUUAAGUCUGCCGCCUGGGGACUACGACCGCAAGGUUA
rnacentral:rRNA from 1 species